UGUGCNAAGGUAGCAAAAUCAAUUGUUCAUUAAUUGUGGACUGGAAUCAAUGGCUCGACGAUAGAAACACUGUCUCUUUCUACUUCUUUUGAAUUUUAUUAAAGAGUGAAGAAGCUCUUAUGUAAUAGCGGGACGAGAAGACCCCGUUGAGCUUUAGUUAGACUAAGCUUAUACAAAUCUUAAUAACUUAGGUUGGGGCAACCAUUUUUAAAUAAAACAAAAAUAAUAAAUGGAUGAUUCAAAUCUUUUUAAUAAGCCUUAAUUUUAGGAAAAUGUAAAAAGUUACCACGGGGAUAACAGCGUAAUUUUUUUUGAGAGUUCUUAUUGACAAAAAAGUUUGCGACCUCGAUGUU
rnacentral:rRNA from 1 species